AACCAAACAUCGAACCAAACAUCGAACCAAACAUCGAACCAAAUAUCGAAUCGCUUACCGAAAUUGGGGGGACAUAUCAAAUAAUUCAAUUCGAAGACAGCGAAAUACAAGACCCUCUCCUUCCAGCCGAGUCAUCAGAUAAUGGCGAGAAGUCUUUCAGAUGUGAAGAUUGCAAAAGACCACGUUAAUAUGAAAAAAGGGAGUGAGGUUUAUUGCGAACAACAUUGAAUAUCUAGUAACUUUGCAUUUCGAACGGCAAAAAUUGAGGAAGGCCUUGAACGAAUUGUCGGAGAGUCAGAAUGGAGAUGUUUUCAAUUUGAGGAAACUAUUUAGUCUGGGUACUCCCUACGAAUGGGGAUGGAGGUAUGACACUCUUUUGACCGCGCUGUAUUCUCGCCACCGGCGCCAUCGGGAGCCCGUCUAUCUGGCAAUUGGAUCAGUUGUCCAUCUAUCGAUGGAAGAGAGGUCUAACCUCAAAAACAAAGGUUUGCCUUGAAUGGCAAAAGACCAAAAAAACCAUAUAGCAUUGGUGAUCUUUUUCUUCAUCAGUUCAUUGAUAACGUUCUUCAAGUUCUUAGAAAUGGUAUUUUAUUUCGUCAAAAAUAAAUUCCAGUGGUAUUAUGAGCCUUCUCAUUGCAGAUACACCUGUACGUUCUUGGAUAUUGAAUUACCCAGUAAACAUCGAAAUCUUGUAGAAAUCUAAAAGAUAUCUCAUUAAAGAAAUCUUCAAGAUAUUUCUAAAAGAUAUCCAGGAGAUAUCUAAAAGAUGUCUAAAAAUACUUUAUUCAAGAUUUCUUUGUAGAAUUUCUAAAAGAUACCUUUAAAUAUCUGAAAAGACAUUUUAAAUGAUAUCUUUAACAUAUUAUGUAAUAUACAUAUUAAAGAUAUCUAA